rnacentral:lncRNA from 10 species
GAGUUCGAGAUCAGCCUGAUCAACAUGGAGAAACCCCGUCUCUACUAAAAAUACAAAAUUAGCCGGGCGUGGCGGCCCAUGCCUGCAAUCCCAGCUACUCGGGAGGCUGAGACAGGAGAACCGCUUGAACCCGGGAGGCGGAGGUUACGGUGAGCCGUGAUCGCGCCAUUGCACUCCAGCCUGGGCAACAGAGCAAGACUCCGUCUCAAAAAUAAAUAAAUAAAUAAUAAAUAAAGAGUGCAGACUCUUAGGCCCCACCUUUGCAACAUCUACUGAGUCAGAAUGUGUAGUCUGUCCCCGGUGACGUUUAAGAAGCACUGAUCCCGAACAUGCUGUAUGUUUUAGUUUUCUAUCUAACUUCACCCACUUGGAAUGUAAGCUCCAGGUCAGCGAUUCUUGCCUAUUUUGUUGACUGCUCCAUCUACAGGUGGCUAGAAAGCUGCCUGGAUUUCAAUGUAUUUGUCGGAUUAAUCUAUUGACAACAGGUGCCCAGGUCCUAGCUCUGAACCCACGGGAGAUUAAUAUUGUGUCUUUCCUACAGAGAAAUCACAGAGUUGCAAAUCCUCCCGGUUCAGCUUCGUCAGCACUUAAUACCAUUUGCUGGAGCUCCUGAGUGAGAGCUAGGACAAAACUAGUCCCUGAGCCCAGCGGGAGGAUCCACUAGUCCACACCCUCGACCUCUGUCAGCCUCUUCAACCCCUUCUCUCCUCGCUUGAGGAGAAUGUGAUCGUUUGACAGCCAUCAGGAAAAGGCUGGAGUGCAAUGGCGCGAUUUCAUCUCACCGCAACCUCCGCCUCCCGGGUUCAAGCGAUUCUCCUGCCUCAGCCUCCCGAGUAGCUGGGAUUACAGGCAUGCGCCACCACGCCCGGCUAAUUUCGUAUUUUUAGUAGAGACGGGGUUUCCCCAUGUUGGUAGGCUGGUCUCGAACUCCCGACCUCAGAUUUCAGGUAACUGCUGUAACUUGAAGAAAAGUGAAACUGCAGAAAAGGCAGGACCACUGGACUGCUGCUUUCAUUCUACGCCCACGUUUUAG